rnacentral:rRNA from 1 species
UACGAAGGGGGCUAGCGUUGCUCGGAAUCACUGGGCGUAAAGGGUGCGUAGGCGGGUCUUUAAGUCAGGGGCGAAAUCCUGGAGCUCAACUCCAGAACUGCCUUUGAUACUGAGGAUCUUGAGUACGGGAGAGGUGAGUGGAACUGCGAGUGUAGAGGUGAAAUUCGUAGAUAUUCGCAAGAACACCAGUGGCGAAGGCGGCUCACUGGCCCGAUACUGACGCUGAGGCACGAAAGCGUGGGGAGCAAACAGG